GCUCAGGCAAAGUGGGGAAAGCUGCCUUAGAUCUUCAGUACAGAGAUGCCGGCUCUCACCUGAUACGUUCAGGUUUCGUCAAUUAACCUUUUUGGCCUUCAUUUUCCCCUCUACCUAACCAGCGGGCGGACUACGUGCCUUAGUGUAAGGGUCCAUUCAUGUUAUAUGGUGUCUUAAGACACGCACUCAACUCACUUCAAAUAAAAGCGUGAGUUUGCAGAACCAGAUCUAAUUAUCAAUCUUAGUACAGUUGAAAGACGUGUUUCUGGCAAGUUAGUGCCCAGUGCCUGAAAAGUAUCAUUUCCUAUGUUCAAUAAAAAGGCCCCUUAACUUAAUCAAGGACCUGUGAGAUGACUGUCUCACUUGUGGUAUUGCAAGGAUAUAGAUGCAGGAACAUUUUAAUGUGAUCCUUCUAUAAAAGUGACUCAACGAAAUGAUCUCCAAACAACUUCAAGAAACAGGCCAUCCAGGCCUAUGAUUUUACAGCAAAAUUGGUCAGUGUAUGUAUUUGAGAGAACAAAUUCUGUCAGCUCCCAAAUGACAAACCAGUAGUUGCUUUAUUGGUCUUCAGACGUGGCUGCUCUCAUCAGCAUCAAACAAUUGAGAAUGAACCAGGCUUAAAACAUGGUACUUGGCAAUCGGGUUGCCAGCUAAGCAGCAGAUGCGAGACUUGCCCUCCAGGAGCUUAGCAUUAGAAUGGAGAAGAGAAAUAAAUGCAUAAUAUGUAGGUGACAUAAAUCCAUACCAGUACACAUUUAAGAACAAAUGGCAAAUCCAAGGGUAAGAGGCCGUACAUGUUCAAUAUGAUGAGUAAUUUAGACAAUCCUAUAGGAGCCGAAAUGCUACAGAUGUCCCUGGCUGCUGGGAAACGAGGGAGAACUUGUCCAUGGAUGUGGGGGUUUGUGUCCGUCUCUGAAUAAAGAGCAGAAUGCUUGCUAUCCUACUGGCCAGUUAUCUACCCAUUGUCUGAAAA